AGAACGAACGCUGGCGGCAUGCCUAAUACAUGCAAGUCGAACGAACACUUCGGUGUUAGUGGCGCACGGGUGCGUAACGCGUGGGAAUCUGCCCUUGGGUUCGGAAUAACAGUUGGAAACGACUGCUAAUACCGGAUGAUAUCGAAAGAUCAAAGAUUUAUCGCCCAGGGAUGAGCCCGCGUAGGAUUAGCUAGUUGGUGAGGUAAAGGCUCACCAAGGCGACGAUCCUUAGCUGGUCUGAGAGGAUGAUCGGCCACACUGGGACUGAGACACGGCCCAGACUCCUACGGGAGCAGCAGUAGGGAAUAUUGGACAAUGGGCGCAAGCCUGAUCCAGCAAUGCCGCGUGAGUGAUGAAGGCCUUAGGGUUGUAAAGCUCUUUUACCCGAGAUGAUAAUGACAGUAUCGGAGAAUAAGCCCCGCUAACUCCGUGCCAGCAGCCGC
rnacentral:rRNA from 1 species